rnacentral:rRNA from 1 species
GACGAACCGUGCGAACGUUAUUCGGAAUCACUGGGCUUAAAGCGCGUGUAGGCGGGACGGCACGUCUGUCGCUGAAAUCCCCCGGCUUAACCGGGGAACUGGCGUAGAUACGACCGUCCUUGAGGGGCGUAGGGGGAUCUGGAACUUCCGGGUGGAGCGGUGAAAUGCGUUGAGAUCGGAAGGAACGCCCGUGGCGAAAGCGAGGUCCUGGACGUCUACUGACGCUGAGACGCGAAAAGCUAGGGGA